UAUAUUUUUAUUAACGUUACCUUUCCUUUUUAAUGCCAUGUUGGCGCGGAAGCCUUGUUCGUUAUUCUCCUUCCAUUUCCACCGAUUUCUUCAAAGCCAAGGAAUUGAAAAGAUGGAGAAUCUCCUUGAACUCCAGCCUCCUGGUUUCAGUGUAGAACGUCGUGUGUUUGUUUGAGCAAUACGCUAACCAAAUCCAACCUCUGAUCUCCCAUUCCAUGCUUUUCCCUCUCCCCUCUCCGUUAAUCUUCCAACAAACUCUCUCGUCAUACUCGUCUCCGGCGAAUAUCACCUCUCCCUGUUUCUUGCAUUGCCGGAAAGCGCUCGAGAAACUCUGUCGUGGAGGUACCAGUUGAGGAUUCCGGUGCUGCCGUGGACGAGCUGCUGGAACUUCCAUGGCUUUAAGCUCGCCGUUUCGAUCUCUUCAUCUGCUAAUUUUAGGCCUAGAGUUGGAGUGAGUUGCAGUGAAAUUCGUGAUGGAAAAUGCUUGUUGGAUCGGCCGACUCCUCGUUUGGACAGCAGCGUAUCGUUCACGAGUUGGAUGAUGUUGCACCUGUAAGAAUUCGAGGGAGGUACGUUUUAAUUUCCAUUGUCAAUGAUACGUGAGAAUCUUUAAUAUGAAUUAGCUUGUUUGAACAGCUUUGGAAUUAAGUUAUCUAGAAAGUGCUUCUAGUCGUUACUUUUGGUGCGAGAGAGAAGUUAAAUUCAAUCGUCAUAGAUACGUGAGAAUCCUUAUCAUCGAUUACUUCCAAUAGCUUGAUCGGUUUGGUAUCUAUUUUUCAAGAAUUUGAUGGUAGUUCUUUUAUUACAAUUAGUGGGUGAGAGAGAAGAAAUUCGUUCUUAGCAGGCAAAAAUUAGCUUCGAAGUUCAAAAUACCUUAUGUUGUCAACGUGAACCCUUAGAUUAAUCCAAUUUUCUUGAACCUCAGCCUCGUAAUUGAACUGCAGAACUCCUUCUAGCUGGUGCUAAUUUAGAGAAAAUUGCAAUCUUUUCAUCAGUUGAAGGACUGCUUUUGUUCUCAAUGCGAUCCAUUAAAAUGACUGGGCAAUAGAGUUGAACUUUCCAUAGCCUAUGUUUUGAAAAUGAAUAAGAGAACAAAGGUGAGGGUGUUUCUUGGUAUGAAUGUUCUCCCUUUUUUUCAUUCUAUAGCUUUUUUUCUCUGUAAGUUGGAGAGUAUUUUUGUAACUCCUUUGAAGCGGCCUUCCAUCUUUUCCUACUUUUGUUGUAAUUUUCUAUCAUUUAUGUA